UACGGGGGGGGCAAGCGUUGUUCGGAAUUACUGGGCGUAAAGGGCUCGUAGGCGGUGUGUCGCGUCAGCCGUGAAAACCUGCAGCUUAACUGUGGGCUUGCGGUCGAUACGGGCAUCACUGGAGUUCGGCAGGGGAGACUGGAAUUCCUGGUGUAGCGGUGAAAUGCGCAGAUAUCAGGAGGAGCACCGGUGGCGAAGGCGGGUCUCUGGGCCGAUACUGACGCUGAGGAGCGAAAGCGUGGGGAGCGAACAGG
rnacentral:rRNA from 1 species